rnacentral:rRNA from 1 species
CCUACGGGUGGCAGCAGUGAGGAAUAUUGGUCAAUGGCCGGAAGUCUGAACCAGCCAAGCCGCGUGAAGGACGAAGGUGCCAAGCAUUGUAAACUUCUUUUGUCAAGGGACAAAUUCCGGCUCGUGAGCCUGACCGAGGGUACUUUACGAAAAAGCAUCGGCUAACUCCGUGCCAGCAGCCGCGGUAAUACGGAGGAUUCGAGCGUUAUCCGGAUUUAUUGGGUUUAAAGGGUGCGUAGGCGGACUGUUAAGUCAGCGGUAAAAGCCCGGGGCUCAACCCCGGCGAGCCGUUGAGACUGGCGGGCUUGAGAGGUCGAGAGGUAGGCGGAAUGCGCGGUGUAGCGGUGAAAUGCUUAGAUAUUGCGCAGAACUCCGAUUGCGAAGGCAGCAUACCGGAGGAGAUCUGACGCUGAGGCACGAAAGCGUGGGUAUCGAACAGGAUUAGAUACCCCUGUAGUC